UGUGACUCCUACGGGAGGCAGCAGUGGGGAAUAUUGCACAAUGGGGGAAACCCUGAUGCAGCCAUGCCGCGUGUGUGAAGAAGGCCUUCGGGUUGUAAAGCACUUUCAGUAGGGAGGAAGGUAGUGUAGUUAACACCUGCAUUAUUUGACGUUACCUACAGAAGAAGCACCGGCUAACUCCGUGCCAGCAGCCGCGGUAAUACGGAGGGUGCGAGCGUUAAUCGGAAUUACUGGGCGUAAAGCGCAUGCAGGCGGCCUGUUAAGUCAGAUGUGAAAGCCCCGGGGCUUAACCUCGGAAUUGCAUUUGAAACUGGCAGGCUAGAGUCUUGUAGAGGGGGUAGAAUUUCAGGUGUAGCGGUGAAAUGCGUAGAGAUCUGAAGGAAUACCAGUGGCGAAGGCGGCCCCCUGGACAAAGACUGACGCUCAGAUGCGAAAGCGUGGGGAGCAAACAGGAUUAGAUACCCUGGUAG
rnacentral:rRNA from 1 species